rnacentral:rRNA from 1 species
GGCAGCACGGAGCUUGCUCUGGUGGCGAGUGGCGAACGGGUGAGUAAUAUAUCGGAACGUACCCUAGAGUGGGGGAUAACGUAGCGAAAGUUACGCUAAUACCGCAUACGAUCUAAGGAUGAAAGUGGGGGAUCGCAAGACCUCAUGCUCGUGGAGCGGCCGAUAUCUGAUUAGCUAGUUGGUAGGGUAAAAGCCUACCAAGGCAUCGAUCAGUAGCUGGUCUGAGAGGACGACCAGCCACACUGGAACUGAGACACGGUCCAGACUCCUACGGGAGGCAGCAGUGGGGAAUUUUGGACAAUGGGCGAAAGCCUGAUCCAGCAAUGCCGCGUGAGUGAAGAAGGCCUUCGGGUUGUAAAGCUCUUUUGUCAGGGAAGAAACGGUGAGAGCUAAUAUCUCUUGCUAAUGACGGUACCUGAAGAAUAAGCACCGGCUAACUACGUGCCAGCAGCCGCGGUAAUACGUAGGGUGCAAGCGUUAAUCGGAAUUACUGGGCGUAAAGCGUGCGCAGGCGGUUUUGUAAGUCUGAUGUGAAAUCCCCGGGCUCAACCUGGGAAUUGCAUUGGAGACUGCAAGGCUAGAAUCUGGCAGAGGGGGGUAGAAUUCCACGUGUAGCAGUGAAAUGCGUAGAUAUGUGGAGGAACACCGAUGGCGAAGGCAGCCCCCUGGGUCAAGAUUGACGCUCAUGCACGAAAGCGUGGGGAGCAAACAGGAUUAGAUACCCUGGUAGUCCACGCCCUAAACGAUGUCUACUAGUUGUCGGGUCUUAAUUGACUUGGUAACGCAGCUAACGCGUGAAGUAGACCGCCUGGGGGAGUACGGUCGCAAGAUUAAAA